GGCUGAGAAGAGGGUGAAGAAGAUAUCGACAGAGGGAGGAAUCCCUAGUUCGUGAGAGAAGGCAAUGAAUGCCAGAAUGUGGAUGUAGGAAUUAGGAACCAACUAGGCAAAACCCACUCCUAUAAACCCUAGGAGGGUAAAGAUGAAGGCAUGGAGGGGUAGACGAAUCCCCUUUUCAAGAAAAGUAACUAGCAUAACGACCCAACCAUCCGGUCGAUGGUAUAUGCGUUCUUCAGGAGCGGGAGCCCUUAUAGCGUACAUAUCCGGAAUCUGAUAGCG
rnacentral:lncRNA from 1 species